UGAGGAAUAUUGGUCAAUGGACGAGAGUCUGAACCAGCCAAGUAGCGUGCAGGAUGACGGCCCUAUGGGUUGUAAACUGCUUUUGUUUGGGAAUAAUCGACAUUACGUGUAAUGUUUUGCAUGUACCAUUCGAAUAAGGACCGGCUAAUUCCGUGCCAGCAGCCGCGGUAAUACGGAAGGUCCAGGCGUUAUCCGGAUUUAUUGGGUUUAAAGGGAGUGUAGGCGGUUGGUUAAGCGUGUUGUGAAAUGUAAGAGCUCAACUUUUAGAUUGCAGCGCGAACUGGCAGACUUGAGUGCGCACAACGUAGGCGGAAUUCAUGGUGCAGCGGUGAAAUGCUUAGAUAUCAUGACGAACUCCGAUUGCGAAGGCAGCUUACGGGAGCGCAACUGACGCUAAAGCUCGAAGGUGCGGGUAUCGAACAGG
rnacentral:rRNA from 1 species